ensembl:lncRNA
CCUUGACUCCUCUUCUCGGCUUCCCAUUCCUCUUGCUGCUGUUCUUUCUCUGCAGUAGACAGCACCAUGAGACACGAUUUUGCUCUGUCUAUCACUUGCCUUCUCUCACUGGAAAGCAGACACCACACACAGUGUGGCUACCAAGUAGAUUUGUAACAAUUGUUACAAUAUCAAACUCCUUCAGAACCAGUUAGUGACCUAUGUGUCCCCUCUCAGCCAACCGCCUUAUCCUGUUUAGGCUGCCAUGGCAAACUCCACAAACUGGAUGGCUUCACCAGCAGAAAUUAUUUCUGGCAGUUUUAGGAUCUGGGAAGUGCAAGAUCUGGGUGCCAGCCAAUUCAGUUCUUCUGGAAGUUUCUCUUCCUGACUCACAUUUAGGAGCUUCAAGGACUUCCUUCUGUGUUCCCACAUGGUCCCUCUAUCCCUCUUCCUCUUCACCCCUCUCUCAGUAGGGUCUGACUCAGGCUCAGACUAGCCGGGCAGGCUCACUGGUCUUGCUGCCUCAGCCUCCCAAAUGCUGGGAUUACAGCCGCUCCUGAAGCACUGGCGUUCUCUCUGCCGCUCUCCAAGAUGUCCAUUGCUUAGGCUGUGUCCCUAGACCCUGGCACCCUUUACUCUCAACACUGCUUCCCUGAGUUGCGUGUCUCCCACGGAAGACUAUGCGGUUUUGUCCAACACUGAGCUAGCUGCAGUGCUACCUUCGCCAGCACAACAUCCUGAAUGGGCCUAUCGUGGGCUCUACUCACAAGCUCUAUGAAAAGAAAAUCUGCCAGAAUAAGACCCAGAGGCAGAGGCUCUCAUUCCCCUCCCCGACCCAACUCGUCAUCCUCUACAUUCUUCUACCGGUUCUCAGACUUGGAUUCGGCCUCCGUGGACUCAGACCUGUAGGAUCUGCUCCCAAAAGAGGACGCCUUACUUUACCAAAGCAAGGACUAUAAUGACGACUGCGAUGAGGAGAGUUAUUUGACUCCCAGGACAUAUGGGGAGCCCAAGUCUGUGGGCAUGUCCAAGAGCUUCCACCAUCCGGGGACCUCACUUGCAGAUGGUCACUCUUUCCAACACCAGGUGCGUGAUAUUUUCUCUCCUUCAGGAGGACAAGGAUAGAGAACCCCACAUCUACGGCCGACACAGCGCCUACCAGAGCAUCUCACACUACCACCCCAUUUCCAGCGUCUCCAGGAGCUCCCUGGGCUUAUCCUUUAUCCUACAAUCUCCACCUCUUCUGUGACAUCCUCUUCGUCUUCUCCCUCUUCAUGGCUUACCCGCCGCGCCAUCAGGCCAGAAAAACAGGCCCCUGAUUCCCUGCACUGGACUGGUAUCACCAGGCCCCACUCUGGGACCAGCUAUUGCCCUUCCUGGUCUAUGCUGCCUGUCUGCUGUUUGUUUACUACGCCAUACAAGUUGAAGAACGCAACCCUUUCUGGAUGGAUCCCCGAGAGUAUGGUUUCAGAGCAGCUCUUCACAGUUUUGGCAGAUUGCCUUAGCGGUAUUUGCUGGGGGAGGAGUAGAUGUGGGCUUUUUGUGUUCUAGUUAGGGGAUGGAGGGCCUAGCCUAGGGCAGUGUUUAUAGCCCACCUCCUUCUGCUAAGGAGGAAGCAAAUGCUGGCCUUCCCAGUGGGCCCACGUGUACCUUCUUCUGGAGUCUCAUAGCCCUGUUGCCUCUGACCCUUAAGGCUCCAGGGGGAAAGAACCUCAUUUCUUUAGAGGAAAGCUUGGUGGUAGUUGUCAUACAUGCCUGUUUAUUGUCACCUUUUCAUGGUGUAUUAACCAAAGGCCUUUGUUUUCGUGGAC